UUUUCAGUGGUUGGUCAAUACUGAUUUGAAUCUAAAAUUUGUUCAGCCUGGAGCAGGAUGACCAGAGACUGGUAAAAUAUGUUAAACAUCAUUAUUUAUUCAAAACUGGAACAAGAGGAAGAAAAUUUAAUUAACCUUUGGAAGUGGAUAACAUUUAUAACAGGUGUGUUGGUCUGAUGGGAAAUAAAAGUGCAGGGUCUACUCUGAGAAUAACAACUCUAAUAAAUAUUGUGCCAGUUAUGGGUAAAGUUGAUAUCAGGUCCCGAGAGUUCUCUCUCUACUUGUCUCUAACUCUAAAUCUGCAGUCAAUCCGGACUGAAUUCCUAGCCUAACCCAUGACUACUUAGGUCCGUAUGAAACAACGGUUGAUAUGGUACUAAUUUAUUGAUAACAGAAUCCAGGGGAAACGGGUGAUGAGUGCCUGUUACACUAGCUCACACAGCAUAGGAGGAGUCUAUGAAAUAUCUCUGUUUUUACAGGGAGGAACUAUAUAUCCCUGUUCUGUUUGAUUGUUUCUAAGAAGGAGUUGAAAACCUGUUUUUACCGGCAAUUAUUGUGUACUGCGCAGAUGCAGCGAACUUGUGUGUUUUUUUUCAGUUACCAGGAUUAUUAAACAUGUAUUCACAGAUCUAGUUAUUUAAAGAAUGUUUUCGUGCUAAUUUUGUCAUGCUAGUGUCGGCAGACUAUUGUGGUAAUUAUGUUUAUAAAUUAUUAAAGUAUUCUUUUUUGUGUUUUGUAAUGUAUGUUAUGAUUAUUUGGCUGGAUUGCAGUUUUUAACGCCUGAUGAGUGUAAUGUCUAUGUUUUUGAUGGAAAAUGAUUGUAUUAAACUCGUCAAAGCUUUUUUGUAGUCUAAAAAGUUUAACUAUUUUUUUGUUAGACUGAAAUUCUGUUCCAUAAUAAAACUUGAGGCCUU